UCCACCCUCAAGCCCGGCUUGCUGUUGGGUCGCGCUGGGCGUCGAGCCCAACGGACCUCAAAGGUAAUGACAGAGCCCGUGGGGGCCCCGGACGCAGCGAGCUCCUCAGCACGCGUCCCGGUGGUCCUACGGGGCUUGGCCUCAACCGAUGAUUUCUCU
rnacentral:misc_RNA from 1 species